rnacentral:rRNA from 1 species
GUAGGUGACCUGCGGAGGAUCAUUACAGAGUUCAUGCCCUUCGGGGUAGACCUCCCACCCUUGUGUAUUUAUACCUUUGUUGCUUUGGUAGGCCGUUGGGCUUCGGCCUGGCUACUGGCUCCGGCUAGUGAGUGCCUACCAGAGGAUACCAAAACUCUGAAUGUUAGUGUCGUCUGAGUACUAUAUAAUAGUUAAAACUUUCAACAACGGAUCUCUUGGUUCUGGCAUCGAUGAAGAACGCAGCGAAAUGCGAUAAGUAAUGUGAAUUGCAGAAUUCAGUGAAUCAUCGAAUCUUUGAACGCACAUUGCGCCCCUUGGUAUUCCGAGGGGCAUGCCUGUUCGAGCGUCAUUACAACCCUCAAGCUCUGCUUGGUAUUGGGCAUCACCCGUUAGGGCGUGCCUUAAAAUCAGUGGCGGUGCCAUCUGGCUCUAAGCGUAGUAAUUCUCUCGCUAUAGGGUCCUGUGGAUGCUUGCCAGCAACCCCAAUUUUUUCUAUGGUUGACCUCGGAUCAGGUAGGGAUACCCGCUGAACUUAAGCAUAUC